rnacentral:rRNA from 1 species
GAGUUUGAUCGUGGCUCAGAGCGAACGCUGGCGGCAGGCUUAACACAUGCAAGUCGAGCGGGCGUAGCAAUACGUCAGCGGCAGACGGGUGAGUAACACGUGGGAACGUACCUUUUGGUUCGGAACAACUGAGGGAAACUUCAGCUAAUACCGGAUAAGCCCUAACGGGAAAGAUUAUCGCCGAAAGAUCGGCCCGCGUCUGAUUAGCUAGUUGGUGAGGUAAUGGCUCACCAAGGCGACGAUCAGUAGCUGGUCUGAGAGGAUGAUCAGCCACACUGGGACUGAGACACGGCCCAGACUCCUACGGGAGGCAGCAGUGGGGAAUAUUGGACAAUGGGGGCAACCCUGAUCCAGCCAUGCCGCGUGAGUGAUGAAGGCCCUAGGGUUGUAAAGCUCUUUUGUGCGGGAAGAUAAUGACGGUACCGCAAGAAUAAGCCCCGACUAACUUCGUGCCAGCAGCCGCGGUAAC